AGUGAACGCUGGCGGUAGGCCUAACACAUGCAAGUCGAACGGCAGCACAGUAAGAGCUUGCUCUUACGGGUGGCGAGUGGCGGACGGGUGAGGAAUACAUCGGAAUCUACUUUUUCGUGGGGUAUAACGUAGGGAAACUUACGCUAAUACCGCAUACGACCUACGGGUGAAAGCAGGGGAUCUUCGGACCUUGCGCGAUUGAAUGAGCCGAUGUCGGAUUAGCUAGUUGGCGGGGUAAAGGCCCACCAAGGCGACGAUCCGUAGCUGGUCUGAGAGGAUGAUCAGCCACACUGGAACUGAGACACGGUCCAGACUCCUACGGGAGGCAGCAGUGGGGAAUAUUGGACAAUGGGCGCAAGCCUGAUCCAGCCAUACCGCGUGGGUGAAGAAGGCCUUCGGGUUGUAAAGCCCUUUUGUUGGGAAAGAAAAGCAGAAGGUUAAUACCCCGCUGUUCUGACGGUACCCAAAGAAUAAGCACCGGCUAACUUCGUG
rnacentral:rRNA from 1 species